UGCAGUCGAGCGGGGGAGGUUGCUUCGGUAACUAACCUAGCGGCGGACGGGUGAGUAAUGCUUAAGAAUCUGCCUAUUAGUGGGGGACAACAUCUCGAAAGGGAUGCUAAUACCGCAUACGUCCUACGGGAGAAAGCAGGGGACCUUCGGGCCUUGCGCUAAUAGAUGAGCCUAAGUCGGAUUAGCUAGUUGGUGGGGUAAAGGCCUACCAAGGCGACGAUCUGUAGCGGGUCUGAGAGGAUGAUCCGCCACACUGGGACUGAGACACGGCCCAGACUCCUACGGGAGGCAGCAGUGGGGAAUAUUGGACAAUGGGGGGAACCCUGAUCCAGCCAUGCCGCGUGUGUGAAGAAGGCCUUUUGGUUGUAAAGCACUUUAAGCGAGGAGGAGGCUACUGGUAUUAAUACUACCGGAUAGUGGACGUUACUCGCAGAAUAAGCACCGGCUAACUCUGUGCCAGCAGCCGCGGUAAUACAGAGGGUGCGAGCGUUAAUCGGAUUUACUGGGCGUAAAGCGUGCGUAAGCGGCUUUUUAAGUCGGAUGUGAAAUCCCUGAGCUUAACUUAGGAAUUGCAUUCGAUACUGGGAGGCUAGGGUAUGGGAGAGGAUGGUAGAAUUCCAGGUGUAGCGGUGAUAUGCGUAGAGAUCUGGAGGAAUACCGAUGGCGAAGGCAGCCAUCUGGCCUAAUACUGACGCUGAGGUACGAAAGCAUGGGGAGCAAACAGGAUUAGAUACCCUGGUAGUCCAUGCCGUAAACGAUGUCUACUAGCCGUUGGGGCCUUUUGAGGCUUAGUGGCGCAGCUAACGCGAUAAGUAGACCGCCCUGGGGAGUACAGUCGCAAGACUAAAACUCAAAUGAAUUGACGGGGGCCCGGCACAGCGUGGAACAUGUGGUUUAAUCNAUGCAACGCGAAGACCCUUACUGGG
rnacentral:rRNA from 1 species